rnacentral:rRNA from 1 species
UGAGCAAUCUGCCCUUCUCUUUGGAAUAAGCGUUGGAAACGACGUCUAAUGCCGAAUACGACCUCCUUUCGCAUGAUUGGAGGUGGAAAGCUCCGGCGGAGAAGGAUGAGCUCGCGGCCUAUCAGCUAGUUGGUGUGGGUAAUGGCCCACCAAGGCGACGACGGGUAGCCGGCCUGAGAGGGUGACCGGCCACACUGGGACUGAGACACGGCCCAGACUCCUACGGGAGGCAG